rnacentral:rRNA from 1 species
AGCGAACGCUGGCGGCAGGCCUAACACAUGCAAGUCGAACGAACCUUUCGGGGUUAGUGGCGGACGGGUGAGUAACACGUGGGAACGUGCCUUUAGGUUCGGAAUAACUCAGGGAAACUUGUGCUAAUACCGAAUGUGCCCUUCGGGGGAAAGAUUUAUCGCCUUUAGAGCGGCCCGCGUCUGAUUAGCUAGUUGGUUGAGGUAAUGGCUCACCAAGGCGACGAUCAGUAGCUGGUCUGAGAGAAUGAUCAGCCACAUUGGGACUGAGACACGGCCCAAACUCCUACGGGAAGGAGCAGUGGGGAAUCUUGCGCAAUGGGCGAAAGCCUGACGCAGCCAUGCCGCGUGAAUGAUGAAGGUCUUAGGAUUGUAAAAUUCUUUCACCGGGGACGAUAAUGACGGUACCCGGAGAAGAAGCCCCGGCUAACUUCGUG